CCCACCAUUUUUGCUAAGUAUAAUUAUUUUUACUAGAAAAUAAAAUUGUGCAGAUUUGGGUUCCCCCUCUUCUCUCCAUUAUUUCCCACCAUUUUUUUCAAAUACUUUUCAUUAUAGAGUUUGGGUCUAAUUCUAAUUUCAUAAUUAAACCCUACAUUUUAAUUUGGUUGUUGUUUGAACUACUGCAGAAGCUUCGAAGUGACCCUGUUGGUCAUUGGGUUGGAUUUCGAUAACUUCUCCUUGCUGAUUGAGACUGUUCUUUUCAUACUAAGGCUUUUGCAAGAAUUUUUAUCACGUUUGGCGGACAAGAUGGUCCUGAAGCCGGAGCAGAGGCUGCAAUCAGGGACAAUAUUGGGAACAUCUCUUGGUAGACUAGCCAUUCGUUAAGAGGUAUGUAAGAAGACUAUAUGAAAAUUAGAGAUGAAAAAAAAGUCUGGGUCGAAACACGGGUAGAGAAUACAUAUCAAUUGAAGAGCUCAAAAAGAGUCGGACGACAGAUGAUCAAGGCAAUCCAAUCAUGCUAUCAGAUGAAGAAACUUUCUCUUGUUGGCUGGAUGUAGUUGGGGGAAUGUAUAAGGAAAGGUCAUACGACCUUUUCUUUGAAAAUAACUUCACCGUCUUCAGUAUGGAUUGCAAGGUAUAUGGAGUUCUGCCACCAUGUCAGAUUGAGAAGCUUGAGGAGAUGCGAUAGGAAGUUCGGGAGCUUUCUAGGAAGUAUGAGGAGGAAAGAAAAAGAAGGAUGGAAGAGAAGCGGCGUAGGAUGACACUUGAGUCAGACGUCAAAGAACUCAAGGCUCAAGUAAAUACCUUAAUCAAGCUUCCUCGUUCUCUACCCCUGGUACGGGUAUAACAAGCUGUCCAACAAGUUCAAGGCCAUUCACACGUAGCCAAGCUCAGGAGUUACAAAAACUCCAAGCCAUGUUCAUGCAAAAUGGUUGAAUGUGAGUGUGUGAUUGAUCCACCUAAGGGAUUAAAUGGUUUGAAGUGUGAAUAGGGGAUUUGAAGUGUAAUAAACUUACACUCCAAAGACACCCCAUAACCAAGGAUAAGAUGGUCAUUUCCUUUUCAUUUUGUGGUGUAAUAUAAAUAGAUAUUAUUAGGGUUAUUUCUUCACUUAGUUCAUUCAUGAUAAUAGAGAUUCCAAAACUUGUAAUAUUUUGAACUUCUCUAUUCCAUUUGAGAGGUCCAAGCCGUAGAUCAUAAGUGGAGUGACACUUGGGUUGUAUCUUGUCUAAAAAUUAGGAUCUUGCGGUUCGUUGACUUCCUCUUGGUCCAAGUAAGAGUUUGGUGUUAACAUCUUCUAGUCUUAGGGUCCUAUUACUGUUACAUAUAGGGUUCUUAGACUUUAGGAUGUUAUAUGUCAAGCUAUUUAUCAAUCUUGUUUUAUCUUGUUGUUAAUCUUGAAAUCUAGUAAAGCCGUGUGGCGCCUUUUUCGUUUCA